GACGGAGGGUGCUAGCGUUGUUCGGAAUGACUGGGCGUAAAGGGCGCGUAGGCGGCCGCUUGCGUCGGAUGUGAAAGCCCGGGGCUCAACCCCGGAACGGCAUCUGAUACGGGGCGGCUCGAGACCGAGAGAGGUGAGUGGAAUUCCCAGUGUAGAGGUGAAAUUCGUAGAUAUUGGGAAGAACACCGGUGGCGAAGGCGGCGAGCUGGUCCAUUACUGACGCUGAGGCGCGACAGCGUGGGGAGCAAACAGG
rnacentral:rRNA from 1 species